AACUAAUGCUCAUUCUUUUUUUGUUGUUCCAUAGGUUUACCCGAAGAAGUUGUAGAAGAAGAGGAGCCUGCAGCAGCGAUCACUAUGAGCGACGGAGAAGGCAAGGCAGUUGUGCUGUAGAUUUCCGUUCAAAUCCAUUCAAAUCCACAGGAAUGCUACAUUUUGUUCAUCAUGGCUCAGGUGGCAGAGUGGGUUUUGGAGGAAGGCAUGGCUGGGGCCCAGGGAAACUGCUGCUUGCCACUGGACGAUGCUUUCUUCCUCCUCCUAAACUUUAACCGAAGAAGUUGUAGAAGAAGAGGAGCCUGCAGUAGCGAUCACUGUUAGUGACCGAGAAGGGGAGGCAGUUGUGCUACAGAUCUAAUUACAUACAUCCAUUCAGAUCCGCAGGUGGCAGCUGAGUGGUUUUUGGAGGAAGGCAUGGCCCCUGCGAAAGUAUUGCUUGCCACUGGACGAUGCAUUCUUCCUCCUCCUGAAGUACGAAAAUCCCGAAGCUUCAGACGCCCAUGUUUGGUUCUGUGAUCUAUUUAUCGAACUGUGCUGGAGCUUAUGUCAUACGAUCCCCUUAAGGCCUGCCUAGUGGCUUGAUACUUAGUGUGUCUCGCUACUUAUUAUUUUGUUACAUAUAUGUUGUGUUACUGACAGAAAAAGUUGUGCCCAUAAGAUGUACUCCCUCCGUCUCAUAAUAUAAGAACGUUUUUGAUAGUACACUAGUGUAAAAAACGUUCUUAUAUUAUGCAUGGGACGGAGGGAGUAUAGUACACUAGGUGGUGCUUAG